GAUGAACGCUAGCUACAGGCUUAACACAUGCAAGUCGAGGGGCAGCAUAUAGAUAGCUUGCUAUUUAUGAUGGCGACCGGCGCACGGGUGAGUAACGCGUAUCCAACCUUCCCCGUAGUAGGGCACAGCCCGGCGAAAGUCGGAUUAAUUCCCUAUGUUCUCCAAUGCAGGCAUCUAAGUUGGAGCAAAGAUUGAUCGCUAUGGGAUGGGGAUGCGUCUGAUUAGCUUGUCGGCGGGGUAACGGCCCACCGAGCCUACGAUCCUUAGGGGUUCUGAGAGGAAGGUCCCCCACAUUGGAACUGAGACACGGUCCAAACUCC
rnacentral:rRNA from 1 species